UGGGGAUGGAAUUGGUUUUUUUCUGA
rnacentral:piRNA from 1 species